rnacentral:rRNA from 1 species
CUUUCAAGCGAGUGGCGAACGGGUGAGUAACACGUGGAUAACCUGCCUCAAGGCUGGGGAUAACAUUUGGAAACAGAUGCUAAUACCGAAUAAAACUUAGUAUCGCAUGAUAUCAAGUUAAAAGGCGCUACGGCGUCACCUAGAGAUGGAUCCGCGGUGCAUUAGUUAGUUGGUGGGGUAAAGGCUUACCAAGACGAUGAUGCAUAGCCGAGUUGAGAGACUGAUCGGCCACAUUGGGACUGAGACACGGCCCAAACUCCUACGGGAGGCUGCAGUAGGGAAUCUUCCACAAUGGGCGCAAGCCUGAUGGAGCAACGCCGCGUGUGUGAUGAAGGCUUUCGGGUCGUAAAGCACUGUUGUAUGGGAAGAAAUGCUAAAAUAGGGAAUGAUUUUAGUUUGACGGUACCAUACCAGAAAGGGACGGCUAAAUACGUGCCAGCAGCCGCGGUAAUACGUAUGUCCCGAGCGUUAUCCGGAUUUAUUGGGCGUAAAGCGAGCGCAGACGGUUGAUUAAGUCUGAUGUGAAAGCCCGGAGCUCAACUCCGGAAUGGCAUUGGAAACUGGUUAACUUGAGUGUUGUAGAGGUAAGUGGAACUCCAUGUGUAGCGGUGGAAUGCGUAGAUAUAUGGAAGAACACCAGUGGCGAAGGCGGCUUACUGGACAACAACUGACGUUGAGGCUCGAAAGUGUGGGUAGCAAACAGGAUUAGAUACCCUGGUAGUCCACACCGUAAACGAUGAAUACUAGGUGUUAGGAGGUUUCCGCCUCUUAGUGCCGAAGCUAACGCAUUAAGUAUUCCGCCUGGGGAGUACGACCGCAAGGUUGAAACUCAAAGGAAUUGACGGGGACCCGCACAAGCGGUGGAGCAUGUGGUUUAAUUCGAAGCAACGCGAAGAACCUUACCAGGUCUUGACAUCCUUUGAAGCUUUUAGAGAUAGAAGUGUUCUCUUCGGAGACAAAGUGACAGGUGGUGCAUGGUCGUCGUCAGCUCGUGUCGUGAGAUGUUGGGUUAAGUCCCGCAACGAGCGCAACCCUUAUUGUUAGUUGCCAGCAUUUAGUUGGGCACUCUAGCGAGACUGCCGGUGACAAACCGGAGGAAGGCGGGGACGACGUCAGAUCAUCAUGCCCCUUAUGACCUGGGCUACACACGUGCUACAAUGGCGUAUACAACGAGUUGCCAACCUGCGAAGGUGAGCUAAUCUCUUAAAGUACGUCUCAGUUCGGACUGCAGUCUGCAACUCGACUGCACGAAGUCGGAAUCGCUAGUAAUCGCGGAUCAGCACGCCGCGGUGAAUACGUUCCCGGGUCUUGUACACACCGCCCGUCACACCAUGGGAGUUUGUAAUGCCCAAAGCCGGUGGCCUAACCUUCGGGAGGGAGCCGUCUAAGGCAGGACAGAUGACUGGGGGUGAAGUCGUAACAAGGUAGCCGUAGGAGAACCU